rnacentral:rRNA from 1 species
GACAGAGGGUGCAAACGUUGUUCGGAAUUACUGGGCGCAAAGCGCGUGUAGGCGGCCCGGAAAGUCGGAUGUGAAAGCCCUGGGCUUAACCUAGGAAGUGCAUUCGAAACUCCCGUGGCUUGAGUUCUGGAGAGGGAAGCGGAAUUCUCGGUGUAGAGGUGAAAUUCGUAGAUAUCGAGAGGAACACCGGUGGCGAAGGCGGCUUCCUGGACAGUGACUGACGCUGAGACGCGAAAGCGUGGGGAGCAAACAGG